CCUACGGGAGGCAGCAGUGAGGAAUAUUGGUCAAUGGGCGCGAGCCUGAACCAGCCAAGUCGCGUGAGGGAAGACGGUCCUAUGGAUUGUAAACCUCUUUUGCCGGGGAGCAAAAGACGCCACGCGUGGCGUUCCGAGAGUACCCGAAGAAAAAGCAUCGGCUAACUCCGUGCCAGCAGCCGCGGUAAUACGGAGGAUGCGAGCGUUAUCCGGAUUUAUUGGGUUUAAAGGGUGCGCAGGCGGAAGAGCAAGUCAGCGGUAAAAUUGAGAGGCUUAACCUCUUCGAGCCGUUGAAACUGGUUUUCUUGAGUGAGUGAGAAGUAUGCGGAAUGCGUGGUGUAGCGGUGAAAUGCAUAGAUAUCACGCAGAACUCCGAUUGCGAAGGCAGCAUGCCGGCGCUCAACUGACGCUCAUGCACGAAAGCGUGGGGAUCGAACAGGAUUAGAUACCCUUGUAGUC
rnacentral:rRNA from 1 species